UACGGCCACAUCAUAUUGAAACACCAGUUCCUGUCCGAUCACUGAUGUUAAGCAAUGUUGAACCGGGUCAGUGCCUAGAUGGGUAACCACAUUGGAAUGUCAUGUGCUGUAAG